UUUCCAAAAAAAAAAUGUUUCCCUCAAGAUAUGGUCAUAAUCUCAAUUCAAAUUUCCAGAGUUUGCAACCAUAACUAGAGGCUCUCAAGAGCCUGUGUUGCUCACCUGAUUCUACUUUGGUUUUGGAAAUCAUGUAAAAAUAGAUUAAAAUUAACAGAUACCCUAAUAAUGAGUGAGGCCAAAUUUGUUUUAAUAUUAGUCCUGUAAUUUAAUAAAAAAUCCUGGUGGCCAUCUUGAACAGUAAAUCGGCAACAAAGUAGCAACACUUAAUCAGCACCUCAUAAGAAACAUUUAUGCCAUGUUUUGGUUUCAUUCCAUUCAGUGCACCUCUAGAAGAAGCAUUUGUAUGUAUUUCCCAUAGGGUCUUAUGUUAAAGGAAGUCCCCCCAUUGGCAACCAUCAUGGAUGAAGGAUCAGCUUCAAAGUAACAACACUUGGUCAGCAACUCAAAAGGAACAUGCAUGCCAUGUUUGGUUUCAUUCCAUUCAAUUGUUCUCUAAAAGAAAACAUUUGUACGUAUUUCUCAUAGGGUCCUAUGUUAAACUAAGUCCUCCACUGACGGCCAUCUUAGAUUAUGGAUCGGCUUCAUAGUAACAACACUUGGUCAGCACCUCAUAAGGAACAUUCAUGCCAUGUUUGGUUUCAUUGCAUUCAGUGGUUCUCUAAAAGAAGACAUUUGUAUGUAUUUCCCGUAGGGUCCUAUGUUAAACUAAGUCCCCAGCUGGCGUCCAUCUUGGAUUAUGGAUCGGCUUCAAAGUAACAACACUUGGUCAGCACCUCAUAAGGAACAUUCAUGCCAUGUUUGGUUUCAUUCCAUUCAGUGGUUCUCUUAAAGAAGACAUUUGUAUGUAUUUCCCAUAGGGUCCUAUGUUAAACUAAGUCCCCCGCUGGCGUCCAUCUUGGAUUGUAUCGGCUUCAAAGUAACAACACUCGGUCAGCACCUCAUAAGAAACAUUCAUGCCAUGUUUGGUUUCAUUCCAUUCCAUGGUUCUUUAAAAGAAGACAUUUGUAUGUAUUUCCCAUAGGGUCCUAUGUUAAACUAAGUCCACCGCUGGCGUCCAUCUUGGAUUAUGGAUCGGCUUCAAAGUAACAACACUCAGUCAGCACCUCAUAAGAAACAUUCAUGCCAUGUUUGGUUUCAUUCCAUUCAGUGGUUCUCUAAAAGAAGACAUUUGUAUGUAUUUCCCAUAGGGUCCUAUGUUAAACUAAGUCCACCGCUGGCGGCCAUCUUGGAUGAUGGAUCUGCUACAAAGUAACAACACUUGGUCAGCACCUCAUAAGGAACAUUCAUGCCAUGUUUGGUUUCAUUCCAUUCAGUGGUUCUCUAAAAGAAGACAUUUGUAUGUAUUUCCCAUAGGGUCCUAUGUUAAACUAAGUCCACCGCUGGCGGCCAUCUUGGAUGAUGGAUCCGCUACAAAGUAACAACACUUAGUCAGCACCUCAUAAGGAACAUUCAUACCAUGUUUGGUUUCAUUCCAUUCAGUGGUUCUCUAAAAGAAGACGUUUGUAUGUGUUUCCCAUAGGGUCCCAUGUUAAACUAAGUCCCCCGCUGGUGGCCAUCUUGGAUUAUGGAUUGGCUUCAAAGUAACAACACUCGGUCAGCACCUUAUAAGGAACAUUCAUGCCAUGUUUGGUUUCAUUCCAUUCAGUGGUUCUCUAAAAGAAGACAUUUGUAUGUAUUUCCUAUAGGGUCCUAUGUUAAACUAAGUCCCCCGCUGGCGUCCAUCUUGGAUUAUGGAUCGGCUUCAAAGUAACAACACUCAUUCAGCACCUCAUAAGAAACAUUCACGCCAUGUUUGGUUUCAUUCCAUUCAGUGGUUCUCUAAAAGAAGACAUUUGUAUGUAUUUCCCAUAGGGUCCUAUGUUAAACUAAGUCCACAGCUGGCGGCCAUCUUGGAUGAUGGAUCCGCUACAAAGUAACAACACUUGGUCAGCACCUCAUAAGGAACAUUCAUGCCAUGUUUGGUUUCAUUCCAUUCAGUGGUUCUCUAAAAGAAGACAUUUGUAUGUAUUUCCCUUAGGGUCCUAUGUUAAACUAAGUCCACCGCUGGCGGCCAUCUUGGAUGAUGGAUCCGCUACAAAGUAACAACACUUGGUCAGCACCUCAUAAGGAACAUUCAUACCAUGUUUGGUUUCAUUCCAUUCAGUGGUUCUCUAAAAGAAGAUGUUUGUAUGUGUUUCCCAUAGGGUCCCAUGUUAAACUAAGUCCCCCGCUGGCAGCCAUCUUGGAUUAUGGAUUGGCUUCAAAGUAACAACACUCGGUCAGCAUCUCAUAAGAAACAUUCAUGCCAUGUUUGGUUUCAUUCCAUUCAGUGGUUCUCUAAAAGAAGACAUUUGUAUGUAUUUCCCAUAGGGUCUUAUGUUAAACUAAGUCCACAGCUGGCGGCCAUUUUGAAUGAUGGAUCCGCUACAAAGUAACAACACUUGGUCAGCACCUCAUAAGGAACAUUCAUGCCAUGUUUGGUUUCAUUCCAUUCAGUGGUUCUCUAGAAGAAGUUCAAAAUGUAAAAAGUUAACGCCGACGCCGGACGACGAAGGACGGCGGACGCCAAGUGAUGAGAAAAGCUCACUUGGCCCUUCGGGCCAGGUGAGCUAAAAA